ACCACCCCUAGAGGCGUGGCAGGUGUGGCUAUUAUGUCCCCUGUGUCAGUAAGUGGCAGGGAAGAGAGACUAUGUCUACACUCAGUGUUCUAACCUGUGACCAUCUGAAUAAUUAGUAGCCUAACACU
ensembl:snoRNA